CUGCACUCGGUGUGAUUGUCCCUGUUCCUGCUGCUGCCCAGAUUGAUGAUAUGCUGCCAAGACACGAUCCUGACGGAGGAAGAGCUAAUUAACUCCUGAAGUUAAAGUAAACUUGGACAAAUUAAGAUUGGCUGUGCUUUAUGAAGCUUAAGUUAAUAUCUGGAGUUGGUUCAUCAAGUUAAACAGCUGGUGGAGCUGGUCUGGCGGAAGUCUCCGGUGUGCAUGUGGUUGGGAGGCAGGGUCAAAGGAAACACUAGUGCGCUUUCUCUAUGGACCCCACAACAUGGAAGACCAUGCAGAAGCUGUGCAUAAGGACUGGAAAUUUUAAACCUGGAAGUUGAACUUUUUUGGCUUCCUGCGCCACUGAGCAACUUUCACAAGAAUGAACAGGGCCCCGCCUCUAACACCAUAUCCAGUUCUCUUUAUACAUCCGCGAUUCAACCAUUACAGCAGAAGCAGGCACAACAAGAUGAUGUAAUUAAAAGAGCGCCUCAAACAAUGAAAAAUAUCAGAAAACGUGGUGGAAAUAUAGCAUUCCUGUUUGAUACAUGUAUUAAUUUGAGGAGUGUUACAGUCUCCUCAUCGCUCCAUACAGAUUUUAUGUUUUUGUCUGUGACUAUUUUUCAUCUCUUCGGAGGAGCGGAAACGUAAGUGGACGUUUAAGUCACAAACUUCAUGUACAUCAUGAUUUAAAUGCUAAAUCUGUUUCCAUUGUACUCACAUUUUGUUUCUAUUGAUAUGACAACUUUUCACACCGCAACCAAGCAUAAAACUUCUUUGCAAUAUCUGUUUCCAUUUUCCCUUUUUACCCUUUUUUAUGC